rnacentral:rRNA from 1 species
UACGUAGGGUGCGAGCGUUGUCCGGAAUUACUGGGCGUAAAGAGCUCGUAGGUGGUUUGUCGCGUUGUCCGUGAAAACUCACAACUCAAUUGUGGGCGUGCGGGCGAUACGGGCAGACUGGAGUACUGCAGGGGAGACUGGAAUUCCUGGUGUAGCGGUGGAAUGCGCAGAUAUCAGGAGGAACACCGGUGGCGAAGGCGGGUCACUGGGCCGCAACUGACGCUGAGGAGCGAAAGCAUGGGGAGCGAACAGG